AGUGAACGCUGGCGGUAGGCCUAACACAUGCAAGUCGAACGGCGGCACAGUAAGAGCUUGCUCUUACGGGUGGCGAGUGGCGGACGGGUGAGGAAUACAUCGGAAUCUACUUUUUCGUGGGGGAUAACGUAGGGAAACUUACGCUAAUACCGCAUACGACCUACGGGUGAAAGCAGGGGAUCUUCGGACCUUGCGCGAUUGAACGAGCCGAUGUCGGAUUAGCUAGUUGGCGGGGUAAAGGCCCACCAAGGCGACGAUCCGUAGCUGGUCUGAGAGGAUGAUCAGCCACACUGGAACUGAGACACGGUCCAGACUCCUACGGGAGGCAGCAGUGGGGAAUAUUGGACAAUGGGCGCAAGCCUGAUCCAGCCAUACCGCGUGGGUGAAGAAGGCCUUCGGGUUGUAAAGCCCUUUUGUUGGGAAAGAAAAGCAGCAGGUUAAUACCCCGCUGUUCUGACGGUACCCAAAGAAUAAGCACCGGCUAACUUCGUG
rnacentral:rRNA from 1 species